UGAUUGCUGGGUGUGACCAUAAUAAGUGUGACUAGCCUCGACUAAAAUGUGCAGUCUAAUUCGAGACAUGUGUCACCAGCUAAAUUCCAGGAUCUACAAAAUUUAUACAGUGCUUGUGGAGCACAUCCCUCUACCAGAAGUUGAGGCGCUAACAGUCACUACCCUGAACGCAAUACCAUUAUGUUGGUUUAUAUAAUGGCAUUGCGUUCAGACUCCUCAUUAUUUUUACUGGCUACAUGUACCUUAAUCCAAUACAACAGAACAGGAAGCACAAUGAAUACAAGCAAAUCACAACAGCUAACUGAACGGCAAACGACAAACGAGUGCAAAAACUGAACACUUAACAUGAUUGUACACUCACAUGAUUAUAAUUACUUUACCAUAAUGUCAUUAAAAAUGUCUCUGCACUACUAGUCUAGUGAAUAAAAAUGAAACUACUAACAUGUACAGUUCAAGAUCACUACAUUAAUUUUGAUUGCCCAUUGAUCAACUAACAGUCUAACUGUUGAUGAUGCAGGCACAAAUCCACACAAAGAUCCACCAU